GACAGAGGGUGCAAACGUUGUUCGGAAUUACUGGGCGUAAAGCGCACGUAGGCGGAUCGUUAAGUCGGGGGUGAAAUCCUGGAGCUCAACUCCAGAACUGCCUUCGAUACUGGCGAUCUUGAGUCCGGAAGAGGUGAGUGGAACUCCUAGUGUAGAGGUGGAAUUCGUAGAUAUUAGGAAGAACACCAGUGGCGAAGGCGGCUCACUGGUCCGGUACUGACGCUGAGGUGCGAAAGCGUGGGGAGCAAACAGG
rnacentral:rRNA from 1 species